GUGCCGGGCCGCCGCCAGCCCGACCGGAGCCACCCGCCGCACGGCCCGCGCCAGCCCGGACAUGGCCGCCCCGCCGCCCCGCCCGCCAGGCGGCUCCAAGCCGCUGCCGAGCGCUCGAACCGAGCCCCGAACGCGUCGAGCGGGAGCGGCGGCCCGGGCUGGGAGUCGCACCGCGGGGAGCUGCGGCGGGGGAUGGGGAGUUGGGGCCGUGCCGCCGUUCAGGCUGCGUUAGCGCGGAGUUCCUUACGAGCGUUGCGUUCCCCAGUGACACUUUGAGAGUCACGUUUCAUUUCCAGCCCUUCGCUUCAUCCGCACUUCCAUGUCAGAUGCGCACCUCCCUGUCAGAGCGCCCGUCUGCUGCCGUCUGGCUCACAGCAACAAAACGAAAGGGAACGCUGAUGGGAAGGCUCGGCCUCUGCCGCCAUACAUCCGCCUCUGAUGCCGUGGGCCAAGAGAAUAAAAUAGGAGGCAGUACUUUUGGAGCACAGCUUUUGUAUCUUACUCAUCGUACCCGUAUCCUACUGCGGUCAGUGGCCCCACUACCGUGAGGCAGGACACGAGAACAAGGUGGGCAGUAGCCUUCACACUGUUCUGCGGUGCUGCAGCUCCCCACCAACGCAACACGCUCGUUCUGCUGCUGGUGGCCAGCAGGAUCUGCAAACACAGGGUGUGCAAAUCAUGAGGAUUCACUGAUAUUUCUAAACCACAGCUCCUCGAAAAACAAUAAUCUCGGGGCAUUCUGAAAUCAACCUCACGACUUCUGUCAAUCAUUGCUGCAAACACCCCUGCAAUCCCAGCAGCGCCAAUCAGACGUUACUGUGGCUGCUCCUGCUGGCAUGGCCACACUUUGAUCUCAGUCUUCUCUCUGUAAUCAUCUCACGUGCUUUUCAGUUCAACGUGCAAAAGUUCUGUGGUGCUGUGCUCCUCCACUUAACGUUCCCAAUUGGGAAGCUUGUAAGAAGGUGAAUGAAUCUCCAACAACUCAGCCCACAAACAUCAAUCAGGAACCAGUCUGGAAACAUGCAGGAUGUCUGCACCAGGAGAAAAAGUCACAUUAAAAACACUGGGUUUUCAGACACCGAGAUCAACACAUUUAUCUUCAGCUCCACUUGAGCUAUGAUUCAGAUAUUUGUUCAUCUUAACUUCCUGAGGAAUUCAGUUAAACGCUGCUCAGCAGCACCCAAUGUCCCCAUCACAAAGCAGAGGAGUGGUGGUGGAUCCCAAGCCCAGUGAGGACCCAUUGGGAGGGGCCUGGUGCUGCUUUCACACAGCAUCUCAUACCUGGACGCGUGCAGCACAACAGGCCAGUCAGCAUUUGCCUGUUUUACACACACCAUGUGAAAAAUGCAGCUCUCCCCAACUUACUCAAUUUUCCUGUGAGCUGAGGAUGGUCACUUGGGAACCAUUCAAUUUCCAUAAAACAGAAAGUGAAAGUUUUAUAGUGCCACGUCGCUGCUUCCUUUGUUUUAUGAAAAUUCCAUCAGUCUGACAGAGUUCCUAGAAACAACAGGAUGGGAGCCUGGGAAACAUGUUGUGCAUCAUGGAAAGGAAUGCUGAACAGACCGUGCUGGAUCCAACUGACCCUCCAGAGGGCACACACACUUCUUUUUUCUUCUUUGCAGAAACAUCAGUUUUGAAACACUGACUUCUCGGAGGUGACUUCCUCAUAUGUGUAAUUCAGGGCCUGCUUUCAGCCUCUUGGGACUCAAAGGAAAAAUAAUUGUCACCAGCUGAAAGUUGGUAACUAAGGAACGUUUGGGAAAAACAUCAGUGUAAAAAAAGAACAACAUAAAAUAAACACAGCAAACCCUAAAAGAAAAACCCCACAAGAAACCACGCGGAAUUACUUCCUGUUUUUCUUUAAGUUCUUCUCCAGAGAGGACUAAACAAUUGCAUCCCUGAGAGUGGCUCCAUAUUCACCAUUAAAAUUCAGCUGCUGUGCAUCAGAUGUAACCCUCUCCAGCUUCUCUCCCUGCUCUGUGGGCAGAGGUACCAUACAGCACGGGAAAAGCAGUCUUGCAUAACCACUGAGCACCCGGCAGCAUCACUGCCUUCCACUCUUCUUGGCAUAUCUUUCAAACCAAAGCAGGCUGCUACAAAACAAAGUAAGAGUUACAGAGGGGGUGCAAAACACACAAAAGAUUAAGCACGUUAACCAUAAGGCAUCAUUCUGAUGCUCACAUGUCCGAAGCUGCAAUUAUAUGUCCAAAGCUACAUGCACUUCAGACAACUUUUUGGCUUGCUCUGAGAGGAGCUCCUCACAAAUGAGUGAUAAAUACCUUUCUCCACUCUUCUCUCCAGAAUACAAAUCUCAAUGAGAUGAACAAGUCCCAGACAUGUGAGCAGGAAGAAAUGUGGCACUGAGAACUGUGACUGCCCUAUGCUGGCUGACGUACUGGAAGAGAGAGGGACUCUUCUGCCCUGCUUGUGUGCCACAGCUGAGCAGCACCUCUGCAGCGUAUGCCUACCUACAAGUGAGAAAAGCAACAGGGAAAGUUGUGCUGACAGAAAGAGCAACAGGAGGAAAAAAACAUGUUCCCAGAUCCACGUGAAAUGUUACACACAUCCUGGUGUGAAGAACAGGAUCCUUACUCGCAUUUACUAUCUUUAUCUGUUCUUCUGGAUAGAAGACCAGAUCAGAUCUUUCUCAGCAUCUGGUAUUCUGGCAGUUUUUCCAAAUCCUCUAACAUUAUUUGAAGCUCCGGCAUGUUUUUUUUAAUUACUGAUAUCUACUGUCAUGAGCAAAUGAAGUACGUGCUGGUUGCUAGCCCUUGCUCCACACCUUCGCUGUUCUGACCUUCCAUUUUAGUAUAGUUUCACUUACCUGCGCUGCAAUUACAACUUUAUUCUGCCCUGCAGAUAUCCCCGGGACCACUAAAAGCACUCUUUGUAAGAACUGUGCACAGAUAACUCAAAUUGCAUGGGCUGGUCAAAAACAGGAAAAAGCCUCUUAUCAAAUUAGUAACAUCUCAGAUACUUGGGUGGAGGCAUUUGGCACCGGGCUCACAUAUUCCUACGGGAGCAUGUCCGUGCAUACCACACAGACUCCAUUCCUUUGUUUCAUAUCCUUGUUCCCAAGUUGAGGCAUGUUUCAUAAGAGCCUCUCUGUAGAGGUGUAAGUGCACAAUUACUGCAUGCUACACAGAUCAGGUGGGGGGGAUUUUACUCUGCCCCUUUCUAUACGUGUAAGAUCACAGUAGAUCACAUUAACCCAAUUUACACGGCCUCGUCCUGCAUUUUGCACUGCAAAAACUGUAGUAGGUAUUUUGUACCUUUGCAUGCAGACUAUGAAAAACAGCUAAAAACAUUUUAGAAAUCUCACUGCUGGGAAAACACAACUACCUGAGAUGAUGGACUUCCGAGCUUUUCCCUCCUGCCACUUGGAAUAACAAAUCACGUGCUUGAGCUGGAAACAUUAUUUCUUUGACCUUGAACCAAACCAGAACAUGCCCUCAGCACAGAAUAGUUUCCUUGGAUACCAUGCAUGUGCACCUUCUGAUGUACAGCAGUGGAUGUCAUGUACGCAUACACACCCAACUUGCAGUUGUACUUCAAAGUGUGAUUAAUAGCACUUUAACAAAAAAAAACCCAACAAGUGAAAACCAGGAUUACUACCUGCACACUCAUAUUUAUGUCUGCCACUCCAUUUGAAUUCCUUUUUAUCACAGUGCCUCAAGUAACAACAAUCUUGCAGUGGGAAGGUUAUCAAGGCACUGAUGAGUGCUUCAGAAGAGAAUCAAGCUCAGGGUGUGCAAAGGCUGAAGGGAAAGCUGUGCUCCACUCAAGUGAUGACAACAUUUCUUCCAAGUGGUGUAAUGAAAGCUAACAAGCUCCUACAUGACUUGGCACCUGUCAAAUUUAAACAACAGGUGUGAGUAAAAUGCAUUUCAUAUAUGGACAGGCGGUGUUCUCGUAAAUUCUCAAACAGGAAAAUAAAACAGAAACUAAGGAAAAGUCCCACCUGCAGAAAUAUAUGAAUACCCAAAGCUAAGUAACACACUUCUUACUGUUCACACUGAAGUAGGGAGUGUAAUUUCUUCACUAUUGCUUUAAAGGCAAUGCAGACAAAGGGAAAAUAGGAUCUGGGAAAACAGAUGUUAGAGCUUUCUGCUUUUACUGCAUUUUAAAUAGGGAUUCUGAAAUCUCCAGCCUUUAAUUCAACAUGCAGGUGUUCUGCUGAGAUCAACACGAACUGCUGCAUGCUCUUCACCUCUGAACAUCAGUCUCUUUCUUUAGAAACUGAAAUACAGCAUUACGAUUGUGGCUGGGGACAGCUGUUUAUUUUUUAAACCCACUUAUCAAAUUGAACAGCAGCUAAAGGCCCAGCAGCUUUGACUCAAGAGAGAACUUCCUAUUUUGUAAUAACUCUAUAAAGGUCAAUGCUAAAACACUGAGCCUGCUCUGAUGGGACUGUCUGACUGAGGUUUAUUCAAACAGGCAGGUCUUGGCUGUACGUACACCAGAUAUAGCCACAGUUCUGUAUGCACCUAUCCAGUUCAGUAAAGUGAACUGCUAAGAAACAACUUAGCUAAAAUUGCAGAAAUCCCUGUAUAAACUAUCUGCACUUAAUAUAAUUAACUUGGAUUUUACAGACUGUUUCUUAAUUCAAUCAAUCAAAACUGUAAAUAACAAGUAAUUGACAAGAAUAAUGGAUUCACAACAAACCCUUCCAAGCAGUCCUUUUGCUUGCUAUAGUCUUGCUAAUGCCUGCAGCUGAUACACUGAUAUAGAAGCAGAGGGGGAAUUUGGCAAUUUAAUUACUCCAAAUAGCAGUGUUUGCUCCUCCUCCUCCUGAGACACACACAGGCCAACCUGUUUUGUAUUGUCAGUGUACAACAAUAACAAUUCCAGCACACAGCACCUCCCGUGGAUGAACAACCAGUUUGGUUCCCGUAGGCUUCCUCUUGUGCCUACAAACCCACCCUGCUGCUAAUCUCCAGGAAAUGCCCUGCACUCAGACAUGUCCCUGUGUGCAGCUAUUAAAAGCACGUGCUCAUCUGCUGCAAGUUUGUUAAAUGCUGAAAAGCAGCAAUUAAUGGUGGUGGUGCUUUAUUUGUGGUUUAGUUUGUUCCUUCUUUUCUUCUUUUUAAGGUAUCAUGAUUUCCUUGCUAGAGUAACUGAUAAAAAAGUCCUAGCCUUGAAAAACUUAAAACUUCAUUUUUUUAGCUUCUUAGUUAGCUAAUUACUUUUUUUUUUUUUUUUUUUUUUUUUGCUGGUAAUAUUAAGACAUAGAAGUAGUCAAAUAGUCCAGUGUAACAGAUACUCCCAACACUAUUGAGUGCAGUGAAGUUUGCCAACUUAAUUGACUUUGAGCAGUGUGCACGAUACUUUUAGCAGCCUUAUUUCUCUCUCAGGAGCUAAAGCUCUGACAGACAGUGCUCCACAGCUGCAGGCCACUGUUUCAACCUCAUUUCUUAAGGAAAAGGCUUUAAUUGUCACUCUUAUCUCUGCCUCUCUUCACAUCAAACGACUUUUAAACUCACUGAAUAGUUUCGGCCACAGAGAACUCCAGAAGGAAAACUGUAUUUCUGCAAGGUCCAAGCUUUGUGAAUGCAGGGAGCCAGUAAGAUGGAAGGAAUGUGCCUGUGAGCUUCCCGGUACGAGGAAAGGCAGAUCCUGCAGUAUACACCUUACACAUUCCUAGAUAGCAGAGAAAUCCCAUGAGGGCAGCAAGAGACAACACAAAUGCCUCAGCAUCUGGAAGAACCUUCACUGCCAUGUUUAAAGUCAACCACAAGACAGGAAACUGCAAAGAGGUACAUUCUGCCAGUUCUGUGCCCUCAGUACUGCUCAUUUCACUGCAAGAAGGCAGCUCACAAACCCACCAAGAUCACAGUAGCGCUGCACAGUGUUACAUUUCAGUCUGCUAAACGUGUUUCCUCGUGGAAGAAAAGAGAGAGUAACACUCCAAAUCAAGAUCGUUACUUUGGAGAACACUGAAUGAGGCAUAGUUUUGCCAUUUAGUGUAUUUUAUAGUUAACAUUUCUGACUAGAAAAGCUGCAAGAGCAAGAAAUCCCCAUUUGUUUGUAACAGAGUUAAACCAAAGGCCAACUUGUUUAUUUCACAGGCCUGCACUUUCCAGCUUCACAUGAGUUGUGUGUGAUUAGGCACCGCAGGCAAAGAAUGCAACGUCUAGAGGCUUAUGAUAUAUGCCAGAAACAGAUUUUCAUGCUCCAGCAAAUACAUAAAUAUAUACAUCUACACACAUACACAUAUUUAUGUCUGUUGGCAAUCAGCCAGCCAAAAAUGCCACUCGGGGUGUUUCACACUUCACUGCUCCCCUCAGCUUCCCUUGGAGCCAGAAAGCUUUCAUUUGCCUAUUACAAAGCUUUAUGGCAUUAGCUGCAGUAGUAUGCUUUGGGGAAAUCUCUUCUAGGCAGAGGUUAGUUUUUUUCAGAUUAAUUCUUAUCUCCUUACAUGCACACGCUUGCCCUUCUAACAGAGGUGAUCACAGUAAGAGACACUAAACCCACUAAACCCACAGCUUUCUCCUUACUGUUAACACAGAACAAGAGAUGAAUUCACACUUUCCAAACCACAGAGCAGUUUGUGUUCUCCAAGAAAACAAAAAAUUUAAAGCAGUGAACAGAUGGUGUGACCUCACUCCAGCACAUCAUGUAGGACCCAAGCUCAGAUCCUGGGAUCAUAAACACAAUUCAGUGGAGCAGGCAACGCAUUUAAUCAUACAAGACUCAUAGCCAGGAGCCAGGAACUCCUCUGAUCAGUUCCCAGCACAGCCUCAGGCCCAGCCCUGCAAACUACUACCUACUUAGCAUAGCAUUGCCUGCUACAGACAGCCCUUCUAACUCCAGCAGUGCCACUCAAAGCUGGGGGCUUGAGCUCUCAGAGCCCAAUUAUCCAUCAUUUUAUCAUUGGGCUAAGAAACAAGAAUGAGAUUAGUAUAACUUACCACUGCAAAUCUGUUAUUUGGAGAUUUAGACUGUCAGGCUCCAACAGAAGCUUAAGGCACACUACUAGAGCCUUUUAACACUUAUUUUGCCUCCCAAAGGCACUUACAUGGGAAUGUGAAGCCAUACAACUCCUUUCCAUUCACGUUGAUUUCACAGCAGCCAACGAAUCACGCAAAGGCUUGCAAUGCUGCAAACUUCUGCCUUUCAUUCCAAAAUAACAAACAAAACAAAACAACCCUUCCUCCACCCCCACCAAAACCCACCUCCCUAUGACUCCCCUUUAACCUGACACCACGUGUACUACUUUACCCUUUCACUGCUACACAAGCUGCUGAGUCACUUGAUUUCAGUUGCUUGCUAAGGAGAUCCUCUUGAUCUGGAGGGCUAUCUAUAACUGUCUCCUACCAAGCUCCUUACUGCUAGAAGGAUGUGCAGCAUCAGCUUUCAGUGAUAUACUAAAGAAAAAAAAAUGGAUGAAAAUUAUUAUGAAAGAUAUGCAAUGCUUUUACUGAAAACAGUUUUAGUGAACAAUGAAUUUUUGAAAUGUUUGUCUUCCCUGGAGUGUUGGUCACUGCCUGCGUCCAUCUGGAAACACAAUCAAAGUGAUGGGGGUAGAUACUCGCAGUAUGGCCCCUGUAAGCAGCUGCUGAUCCAUGCAAGUCCAAACCACAGCAUUUCAUUGCAUUUUUUAUACAUUAGCUUAACAGCAGAGACUGAAAACCAGUGUGGUAACGGUGCACCCAAUGAGACAGUGCCCACAUACACGUUUUACACAGCCAUACAGACAUACAUAACAAGCGUGAUGAAAAAUCACAGGAGAGUAAAAUUUAAAAAAUGUCCUAAAAUGUGCAUUUUAUUCCAUAUCAUUAUACAAUGUUUACAUACAGGUAUACGUUUAAAACUGCUCAAAAGAAAGUGUGAAAAACAAAGUGAGGCGAAUAUCGAUUUGUAAGUUCCACCCCCUCCCCAAGCUCCACACAGAUAAAAUACAUUUUAAACAAUCUCUUCCAAAUUUGUGUUUUCUCCUGAAUUUAUUGAAUCUUUCAUUUGAACAUGAAAAAUACAAUUGAAGGAA